GGGAGUUUUGAACAUGGAGAAUGACUAGUUGUUUAAGCGUUCAAGUUAGGAUUACACAAUCAAUUACCUUCUGAAUGUAUUGUCUCUAUUUUCAAUAUCUGAACACACAAAGAAACUAUAAUCUCCUCCUUCACCUUAUCGGUCUCUUCUUUAUAGCAAUUCAGUCAUACCAAUAACUGCUAUUUCCACCAAUAUAUUCACCCUCAUAAUCUCUAACUGUAAUACUGUGCCCUCACAACUUUCUGCACACAAUUAUCCUUGUUCCAAUCAUUGGAAUUCUUCACACAGAACUACCAUUCACAUUACAGUGUUUCACACAAAGACAGACUCAUUCUCUUUGCUGAACUACAAUCAGAUUUUAGUAUUCAAUCUUUCUUCUUCUCAAAUAAUACGAAUCACAUUUCCAUUCCAGAAUUCACUUCACAAUAUUCAGAAACUCUCAAUCCUCUUAUUCAAAGAAAAUAACAAACGAAAGAAAAGAGAUAGCACCAAGCUUACCCCGGCUCACACUAUCACAGCGAUGGCACCUUAAUUAACUUCUACAACUCCUAUAUACUUUCCCCUGAUUCUCCAAAUUCUAACCGUAAUUCU
rnacentral:lncRNA from 1 species